CAGGAUGGGGAAUGCUACUCAUAAUGUCAGUUCAGUUUUUGCAUGCUAAAUGUGUCCUUYGCAGGGGAAUUAGGCAAGGCUGGGGGGACUGGAAACCAAGAUCAGAUGAUGAGUCAUCUCCAUUUCCCUUUUCCUGCUUUUGACUUGUAUGCUCUACAGCUGUGCAGCUGUGCCAAAAUGUCUUCCUAACUUCUCAAAAGCCACAAGUAAGCUUACACCAGGAACAGCAUUGCUUCACUUUCUUCACCUGUAGCUUUGUUACACAAGUAUGCCUAAACACGUUGCUGAAGUUAUAUCUCUGAUAAGUCAUGGUUCAGGGACAUGCCUUGUCACACAACUCACCGUGGAAGGUGGGAGAGGUGACUGACUUCUUUCCGUUUGCACGGGGCCUGCAUCUCUUCCUGCAAGGAACCCCAGAGUUGGGGAAUCAAUUUAUUGUCUGAAUGGGAGCUCAAAGAUGAAGUAACCUUUCAGAAGAAACAAAACACUGAAGCAGUGUCUAGAAGUGCACCUGACUGCUUCAAGGGGAAAAAAGGACCCAGACUAAGUUUAUUUGACAAAGGGGUGUCAGCUCUGCUCUUAGCUUCCUCCACCCCUGUUCGUGGCAAGCUCUUGUUCUUCUCUGUCUGCCGUAAAAGCCAUCGUGAAAAAGAGUGACUGUGGUGCCUCAAAUGCUUUCACCUCUCACAUGUGCAUCUGGGAUCCAUCUCCACAGGGCUUGUCCUUAGACGCUGAGGCACGCUGAAGAUGCAGGAGUAACCAGGAGGACAAUCUGAGUGUUACUGAAGGCCUUUGGGCAGCAUGCGCAGUGCUCCAUCUCGCAGAAAACUCGCACAGAAACCAGGAGAGUGGAAUUUUGGAGCAUCCACGUGGGACACUGGAGAGACUGAGGAGCAAAGGCAUAGCUGUGCCUGGUCAAAAUGUCAGAUCACAGGGGUAUGCCUACCUGUGUUAUCGGAUCUUAAAGCCGGCAGUUGGACAGAGCUAAACUUCAACCUGCAGCACUUUAAGCUUGCUGAAGUUGCUGAUGCUGACGUGUUGGGAACUUUGAAAAGUCCAGUUCAUCUUCGUAAAUUCAUAUACAUCAAAGAGAACAGGCCCAUGGAAAAGCUGAGCUUUAUCACACAUUGA
rnacentral:lncRNA from 1 species